AAGAUCAUCAUCAACAACAGCAGCUUCAGCAUCACCAGAGUUAAGAGAUUCAAUGUUACUGUCACUGCUGUUCCAGGUUCAGGUCUGUCUUCAGGUGCUGUAGCAGGAAUAGCGAUUGGUGUUGUUGCUGUUCUGCUGGUUGCUGCUGCUGGUGUGGUUUACUGUCACCGCAGGAUCCAUACAGCAGUACCACAGACUGAUCCAAAUGACAUCCUCUGAGAAGGAUGAGAUGUCCUUAAAUCAGAUUCAGACUGAGGCUGCUAAAAAAAAAAUGAUACUUUCAUUGAAAGGGACACUGAAGAAAAUUAGGAAAUGAUGGAGAGAAGAGGAUCAGCUGAAAUUCUCAUUACUCACAGAGUAAUUUACAUUUACAUUUACAUUUACGCUUUUGGCAGACGCUUUUAUCCAAAGCGACUUACAUUGCAUUAUAUACAUUUGUAUCUGAGUAUGUGCAAUCCCUGGGAUCAAACCCAUGACUUUGGCAUCCUACUGUACUUGGCUACAUCCUUUUUGGCUACAGGAAAGCAUAAUUGUGUCACGAUUCCAAGAUUUCAGUUAUCAGCACCAAUACCAGUCAAAUUUAUAUAUCGCGAUAUAUCGCAUGCGAUUGUCACGCGCAU